AGGAAACUUGGUUAAUCUGGAAGGAGAAAACCAGCGUCUGCCUGAUCCCGAUUCCCACAGACCUUGCGCUGGUAAACGUCCCACCGACUUCCCGAUGUGCCUAAGUGUUGGAGAGGUUUGAGCUCCGUCAGCCAGCCGCAGGGACACGGAAGUGACGGCUGCUUUAUCCAGAUCUGCUGAGCCCACAGAAAUCAAUAGUUUUCCAUUAUCGGGUCCGGCUGGGUCACUGGUCUGUCAAUGAGCUGUUACAAUCGCUGUACAAGGGUGAACCUGACCAGUCAAUUGCUGCUGACAAGAGGAAAACACGCCGACAGCCACUGGAACAAGCCAGAACACGGAUUUGCACUUUGGUUUGCCAUCCGAGGAGGCCGGGAGCGGGGCCAUUUCCAAGAUGUAGGGCAUGCACAGAGGGAGAAGCGGCCCCCUCCCUCCCUCCCGCGCAGCAGGCAGGCCUUCCCUGCUCGGGGAAUUAAGGCUUGCUUCCAUAGUCCCAAACCCCAGAGACCUCCCUAACUGGAGGUGAAGGAACUUCCUUCCUGGGAUCGGUGUUUUUUCCAGCCCAAAUGGGACGUGCCGAAGGGGAACGUGUCUGCCGGCAAGGCCAGCGGGGCCAGUCCUCUUUCUGCGGUGGCCGUCGCUGGGGGAUGCUGGGCUCGGGGCCUCCGCGUCCGCGGCAGGAGACCGUGCUACGCCGGGCGGGAGCGCAGCCGACAGGCUUCGCUCCUGUCCUCGUCUGUCCGUGUUUUAACGCUGACUUCCUAUCAAACUUGAGAGCUGAGCAAAAAUAAAUAUUUAGAAAUUAUCCCAAUAUUAUGAUUUUUAAUUUUCAACUUUAUUAACUUCUUUCAAGUGUUAAAUCCUGACCGUUUUAUUUACGCCUCCGGUCUUCUGUUUGAUUCUCGCAGAAGUCAAUAUUCACUUGUGUUCCAUCAUCAAACAAAAAAACUGGUAAUCAACUUUAUCACUGGGAGCCAACUAGCUGGGUUUUAAAAAAUACACUACCCAAAAGAAAGAUCAUUUUCUUUAAAUGAGAGGAGAGGGAAGCCUUUUUAACAGAGAAGAGCAAACCCUCCUUUGCCGGUAAUUAGAAGGCACCAGCUUUAUAUGACUUGCAGCAUUUGAUAGCUCGAGCCGC